UACCAGCACCCCGAGUGGUCGGGACGAUUAUUGGGCCUAAAGCAUCCGUAGCCGGUUUUACAAGUCCUCCGUUAAAUCCAGCUGCUUAACAGAUGGGCUGCGGAGGAUACUAUGAGACUAGGAGGCAGGAGAGGCAAGCGGUACUCAGUGGGUAGGGGUAAAAUCCGUUGAUCCAUUGAAGACCACCAGUGGCGAAGGCGGCUUGCCAGAAUGCGCUCGACGGUGAGGGAUGAAAGCUGGGGGAGCAAACCGG
rnacentral:rRNA from 1 species